AUGGACCUAACAUUCCAGGUUCCUAUGCAAUAUUGCUCUUUCUGACUGACUUCACUGUAUAAUGGGCUCUGGGUUCAUCCAUGUCAUUAGAACUGACUCAUGGAUUCCUUUUCAAUGGCUGAGUAAUAUUCCACUGUGUAUAUGUACUACAGUUCCUUUAUCUGUCUGUGUGAUAAUGGACAUCUAGGUUAAAGCAACAAAUUUUGACAGCUGUGUGAAAGAUAGCUCAGGAAGUGUGAUGUUAGAGCUAGAGCCAACCCGCCCAGUGUGUAUGCUGCUUGAUUCUGUAAGCAUGAAGUGAUUCGCUGGAGCUGUGGUGAGAAAGGGAGCCCAAAAAGUUUUUAAAAGGAAUAAUUGGAGAAUUGGUUUAGUGGCUUAGGUGUGGGAGCUGAAGGAAAGACAGACAGUGGAUUAUAUUAGCGAAUUUGGAGGAGAUGAACACCAAUGGUGAUAAAAUACAGAAGCCAGCAAGGAAUUUCGGGUUUUAGUGCAUGAAUAAAGAACUUUUUGGUAUGACAAAGUUUAAGUGAGAUGCUUUAAAGAGUAUCUUCUGAGGAGAGAUGGAUUUUAACAGACUUUGAAGUCAUUGGUGUACAAGAGGCAACUGAAACCACAGUGAAUAAAAUUAUAAGGAUUAAAUAUAGAGAAAUAUAAGAAAACCUGGUCUAAAUGGGGUGGGGAAGAGAAAGAUUGGAGUGCAAAGGAUUGUUCUUAGAAAGAUAAGGGCAAAAAAAAAAAAAAGAUAAGGGCAGAGGAGGCAGCAAAUAGCCUUCUAUAGCCAGAGAAUACAGCAUCUUCAAUGGCAAAAGAGUAAGACUGUGACCCUACUAUUUGUCUUGCACUCGACUGAACUGAACUGAACCCACAGUAGCAUUUCUUUCAAAAUUGGAGUCAAUCGUCUCAAACCCUGCUGUUGUUGUAUUGUUUACAUAAUAUUCUAAAUCCUUUGUUGUCAUUUCAGCAUUUUCAUAGCACCUUAACCAGGAAUAGAUUGCAUCUCAAGAAACCACUCUGUUGAUCCAUAAGAAGUGACUCCUCAUCUAUUUGAAGUUUUAUUGUGAGAUUGCAACAAUUCCGUCCCAUCUUCAGGCUCCACAUCUAGUGCUAGUUCUUUUGCUACUUCCACCACAUCUACCGUUACUUCGUCUACUGAAAUCUUGAACUCCUCAAAGUCAUCCAUGAAGUUGGAGUCACCUUCUUCCAAGUUCUAUUAAUAGGUGAAAGUGAAGUCGCUCAGUUGUGUCCAACUCUUUGCGACCCAUGGACUGUAGCCCACCAAGCUCCUCCGUCCAUGGAAUUCUCCAGGCAAGAAUACUGGAAUGGGUUGCCAUUUCCUUCUCCAG
ensembl:lncRNA